ensembl:lncRNA
CUGAAAACAAAUACUUCAUAUCUGAAUUCCUCGAUCUUUAUGCAACUUUGCCAUUUUACUUCUGAUAAUGGGAGAACAAUUGAAAGACAUUGCUGUAGUUCUUCUCAUGUUUGUCUGUUUGCUUGUCUCUUGCUGCUAGAAUUGCAAUCAGUAUUCCAAGAUCUGCAGCUUCAGGAAAAAUGUCAGCUGGAUUUCACAGAUGCAGUGUUUGUGGGUGUACAUGAUGCUGUGCCUCCAAGGGGGUUUUCCAUGCCAACGGAACUGAUGUGGCUGUCAUCCAGGUUCCAUUCGAAGACCCCAUUGUUCCAAGAACUCUCCGGAAUUCGACCCAGCGACCUUUCAAUUACUGGCUCAAUGCUCUAACUGCUAGGCUACCUUACGCCACUACUGCCUGGUCAUGGCUCGGUUCAAUGACAUUUCCUUCAAAAGGCACCUGCACAGAGGGCAUCAGCUUUCAGCGGGGCAUCCAACCGUUCAACUACAUGUGGGAGGUUGGUGUCGGACCUGACCUGGCUAUGCAUCCUAGGUACAUUAUGCUCUAUGAAAACCAGUGACCAUGGACGUUUCUCUCCACCACCAGAUACAUCUGAGAGGUCAGCCAAGACGCUGGAAGUUCAGCAUGCCUCUACCAAACGCUGCCUCGUCACAACUACUGAGCUGAUCUGCGAGACUAGUGUCUUCCACAGAAGGGGUGAAGACUGACAACAAACUUGACUCUGGCCAUCAUUGGUGCAGAACCUCCCUCCUGGACUCCACCUGCAGGCCCCAAGAGACUGUUGACACCCACCAGGGUUCUAACUUUGGACUCUACACCUAUGGACUACCAGUGGUGAAUGGGAUCGUGUUCUACAAGCAAUAUUCACCCGAAGACAGGCUUGUCAUCAGACAUCUUAUAGGAUCUUUGAGGGAGACUCAGUCACACACUCGCUGACCAGGUUCCAAUAAACUGAGUCUUCAGUAAACAGCUGGGUUCCAAAUGACCUGAUGGAAUUACCUUUUUCUUCAGUUUAGCUUUGCCAGAGGCUAGACUCCCAUUGUGAUUCCUCGGACUCUGACGAUGACAGAGACUACAAAGUAUCCUGUUACAACAAUCUACUAAAUGAAUUUGGGUCCCCUGGCCACACCCAGCAAUUUAAACUAGCAUUGAAUCAAUACUUUCAUGUUAUUACUCUAUUUAAAAUGAAUAAAUUGUUGGCUCUUGUAGACUUCCUCCAGUAUCUUUGUUUUUAAGCUUGAUAUAUUGCUCUUAACUGCAGACUUCAAGGAGGGUGUCUGAUGGACUUAGUGAUGUGCAAAUUCCAUGUUUUGUGCAGCUGUAUAAAGAUAACAGUGGGACUGCCUGUGUAAACGCAGCCAAUUAUUUUUCCAGUAGUUGAUUGUCUCCAAUAGGGUAAAAGAUAAUGACUGCCUGUGUAAAUGCAGCCUUUGCUCAGGGGUAUACAACUCAUACCCUACAAGGUCCAGCGCCUGCUGGUUUUGCUCUGCUAAUGACCUUGUGUUCCAGGUCUAAAAUCGGUCCCAAAAAUUCCAGUCCUGAAUUUGCAUCCAGGAAUGUGUUUACUUGUGGUGAGCCCUUUUCUCUAGGCUUAAAAUUAGCUGUUAAAUGGGGCAGAGAUUACAUGACUGCUACUUGGACACUUCAAAUAGUGUUACCCAACAUUAUAGCAAAACCCUUAGCAUGCUCAUUGUGACAUAAAAAUAACCUGUCAUUCUUCUUUAGCAAACAUGUUUAGUUAUGCAGUCGACUCAGCAAUACAUUACCUCAUGCUUGUAAUUGAAAGGCGCAAUCUGCAGUUGCUUUUGGGGCCUUUAUGCCCAUUUUAUAUACAGUGGAUUUGAAAGUAUUCAUAGAUUUGCCCCUGGUGGGAUAUACAAUGAACUCUUCACCAUUAAAGCCUUUUUUCCCCUUAUCAGGAUGCCUACACCACAGUAGGUAGCAUCAUAGAUUUAAAGAGCUGGGUUGAAGUGGCCUAACAGACAAGGUUCAUUUAAACGUCAUGUGGGCAUUCAGUAUGUCAGACUCUUACUAAACUAGUUUGACGUUCAAGUGUAAAAUUAAAUUGCAUGAGCAGUUUUCAAGCACGUUGUGCUGUGAUUCCCCCAGAUAGCAAUUAACUACAUUGGUGACAGCUGUCUCAAAUCAAUUGCUAAACAUGCCCCAUGCUUUAAAACUUGAGUGUCCAUGUGUUUAUCCGACUAGAUAAAAAUACUAAACAGCCUACCCGACCGAGGCGUCUGCAGGGUCCUUAAGCGCGCACACACACCUGUGUCUGUCAACCCGUCCCAAUCCCUCAGAUCCUCCACUCUCACCAAUAACCACCAUUGAAUCUUCGCUAGAAUGACAAGGAAUAAUGACUAGGCAUCCUUUCCUAAUCUAUCCAGAACUCAAUGUCACAGCAGGUUUGCAAGUCCAAAAUAAAAUUACGUAGUAUGGUUGAAUCCAUCCUUCCCAAGUCUAAACCAUCCCUCACCAAGCUUGUCCCAACCUUACGUAUCCACUUAGUCAUUCUCUCCCAACAUACCUUAUGCACCCACAGCCACUCCUACACCUGUAUUCCCCAUCCUAUUCUGAUACACACAAUUUGACAUGCAUGCAAUAUGUUUCCCUUUGAAAUUUAUUUCAGUGUCCAUGUAGCCCAUUGUCAUCGGCUACUUCUACUGAUAAAUCAGUUAUUUGGGGAAAGUAGAG